AGGGCGGAGCGGCCGCGGGCCCUGAGGGGACCCUGAGGGGACCCUGAGGGGACUCCGGUGCCGUGGGGGCUUCCCAGCUCCGGAGGGAGCAAAGAACGGCCUUCGGACACUGCUGGUGCUGCGCUGCCCUCACGGGGUGCUGUGGACCAGCUGAUCCACUCACUGGGAGAGGAGAUGGCUCACUAAGGGUCUCAUCUCAUGUACAUGGAUGCUCCCCUUUCCCUUCAAAACAUGAACACUGGCUCUGGUGUCCCACACAACCUCCCAGAUUUAACCAGCCAGUACUUUUAAUUUCCUCCUGAGAAUUUUUGGAAAAAGACCAUUCUGCUGUCAGCUUCCUGGGAUAAGCAAAAAGGAAAUGAAACUUCAAAAGACCUGAAGGGUUGUUUGGUGUUUCUUCCACAGACUUUCACUAGAAGCUUCUCCAGCAGCUCUGAGUAGCUCCAGCAGUCUGUCACAUGCUGCCGAAGGCACACUGCAAUCCCAGCAGCUGGCACAAGGGUGUGUGAGGAUGGGAGCCCUCUUGGCAUAAG